rnacentral:tRNA from 1 species
ACCCCCUUAGUAUAACCAAUACUAAUGAUUUCCAAUUAUUAAACCCAGAUUAAAAAACUGGAGGAGGUA